AGCGCAUACGGUGGAUGCCUUGGCAGUCAGAGGCGAUGAAAGACGUGGUAGCCUGCGAAAAGCUUCGGGGAGUCGGCAAACAGACUGUGAUCCGGAGAUGUCUGAAUGGGGGAACCCAGCCAUCAUAAGAUGGUUAUCUUACACUGAAUACAUAGGUGUAAGAGGCGAACCAGGGGAACUGAAACAUCUAAGUACCCUGAGGAAAAGAAAUCAACCGAGAUUCCCUUAGUAGUGGCGAGCGAACGGGGACCAGCCCUUAAGUUGUAUUGAGAUUAGCGGAACGCUCUGGAAAGGGCGGCCAUAGUGGGUGAUAGCCCUGUACGCGAAAAUCCCUUUGCAAUGAAAUCGAGUAGGACGGGGCACGAGAAACCUUGUCUGAAUAUGGGGGGACCAUCCUCCAAGGCUAAAUACUACUGACUGACCGAUAGUGAACCAGUACCGUGAGGGAAAGGCGAAAAGAACCGCGGAGAGCGGAGUGAAAUAGAUCCUGAAACCGUAUGCGUACAAGCAGUGGGAGCCCACGUUGUUGGGUGACUGCGUACCUUUUGUAUAAUGGGUCAGCGACUUAUUUUCAGUGGCGAGCUUAACCGAAUAGGGGAGGCGUAGCGAAAGCGAGUCUUAAUAGGGCGUCUAGUCGCUGGGAAUAGACCCGAAACCGGGCGAUCUAUCCAUGGGCAGGUUGAAGGUUGGGUAACACUAACUGGAGGACCGAACCGACUACCGUUGAAAAGUUAGCGGAUGACCUGUGGAUCGGAGUGAAAGGCUAAUCAAGCUCGGAGAUAGCUGGUUCUCCUCGAAAGCUAUUUAGGUAGCGCCUCAUGUAUCACUGUAGGGGGUAGAGCACUGUUUCGGCUAGGGGGUCAUCCCGACUUACCAAACCGAUGCAAACUCCGAAUACCUACAAGUGCCGAGCAUGGGAGACACACGGCGGGUGCUAACGUCCGUCGUGAAAAGGGAAACAACCCAGACCGUCAGCUAAGGUCCCAAAGUCAUGGUUAAGUGGGAAACGAUGUGGGAAGGCUUAGACAGCUAGGAGGUUGGCUUAGAAGCAGCCACCCUUUAAAGAAAGCGUAAUAGCUCACUAGUCGAGUCGGCCUGCGCGGAAGAUGUAACGGGGCUCAAACCAUGCACCGAAGCUACGGGUAUCACCUUUGGUGAUGCGGUAGAGGAGCGUUCUGUAAGCCUGUGAAGGUGAGUUGAGAAGCUUGCUGGAGGUAUCAGAAGUGCGAAUGCUGACAUGAGUAACGACAAUGGGUGUGAAAAACACCCACGCCGAAAGACCAAGGUUUCCUGCGCAACGUUAAUCGACGCAGGGUUAGUCGGUCCCUAAGGCGAGGCUGAAAAGCGUAGUCGAUGGAAAACAGGUUAAUAUUCCUGUACUUCUGGUUAUUGCGAUGGAGGGACGGAGAAGGCUAGGCCAGCCUGGCGUUGGUAGUCCAGGUUUAAGGUGGUAGGCUGAGAUCUUAGGUAAAUCCGGGAUCUUAAGGCCGAGAGCUGAUGACGAGUGUUCUUUUAGAACAUGAAGUGGUUGAUGCCAUGCUUCCAAGAAAAGCUUCUAAGCUUCAGGUAACCAGGAACCGUACCCCAAACCGACACAGGUGGUUGGGUAGAGAAUACCAAGGCGCUUGAGAGAACUCGGGUGAAGGAACUAGGCAAAAUGGCACCGUAACUUCGGGAGAAGGUGCGCCGGUGAGGGUGAAGCAUUUACUGCGUAAGCCCACGCCGGUCGAAGAUACCAGGCCGCUGCGACUGUUUAUUAAAAACACAGCACUCUGCAAACACGAAAGUGGACGUAUAGGGUGUGACGCCUGCCCGGUGCCGGAAGGUUAAUUGAUGGGGUUAGCGCAAGCGAAGCUCUUGAUCGAAGCCCCGGUAAACGGCGGCCGUAACUAUAACGGUCCUAAGGUAGCGAAAUUCCUUGUCGGGUAAGUUCCGACCUGCACGAAUGGCGUAACGAUGGCGGCGCUGUCUCCACCCGAGACUCAGUGAAAUUGAAAUCGCUGUGAAGAUGCAGUGUAUCCGCGGCUAGACGGAAAGACCCCGUGAACCUUUACUAUAGCUUUGCACUGGACUUUGAAUUUGCUUGUGUAGGAUAGGUGGGAGGCUUUGAAGCGUGGACGCCAGUCUGCGUGGAGCCAACCUUGAAAUACCACCCUGGCAACUUUGAGGUUCUAACUCAGGUCCGUUAUCCGGAUCGAGGACAGUGUAUGGUGGGUAGUUUGACUGGGGCGGUCUCCUCCUAAAGAGUAACGGAGGAGUACGAAGGUGCGCUCAGACCGGUCGGAAAUCGGUCGUAGAGUAUAAAGGCAAAAGCGCGCUUGACUGCGAGACAGACACGUCGAGCAGGUACGAAAGUAGGUCUUAGUGAUCCGGUGGUUCUGUAUGGAAGGGCCAUCGCUCAACGGAUAAAAGGUACUCCGGGGAUAACAGGCUGAUACCGCCCAAGAGUUCAUAUCGACGGCGGUGUUUGGCACCUCGAUGUCGGCUCAUCACAUCCUGGGGCUGAAGCCGGUCCCAAGGGUAUGGCUGUUCGCCAUUUAAAGUGGUACGCGAGCUGGGUUUAGAACGUCGUGAGACAGUUCGGUCCCUAUCUGCCGUGGACGUUUGAGAUUUGAGAGGGGCUGCUCCUAGUACGAGAGGACCGGAGUGGACGAACCUCUGGUGUUCCGGUUGUCACGCCAGUGGCAUUGCCGGGUAGCUAUGUUCGGAAAAGAUAACCGCUGAAAGCAUCUAAGCGGGAAACUUGCCUCAAGAUGAGAUCUCACUGGAACCUUGA
rnacentral:rRNA from 1 species